rnacentral:rRNA from 1 species
AUUGAACGCUGGCGGCCGGCCUAACACAUGCAAGUCGAGCGAGCGGCGGACGGGUGAGUAAUGUCUGGGGAUCUGCCCGAUAGAGGGGGAUAACUACUGGAAACGGUAGCUAAUACCGCAUACUAUCGGAUGUACCCAUAUGGGAUUAGCUAGUAGGUUGGGUAAAGGCUCACCUAGGCGACGAUCUCUCGCUGGUCUGAUAGGAUGAUCAGCCACACUGGGACUGAGACACGGCCCAGACUCCUACGUGAGGCAGCAGUGGGGAAUAUUGCACAAUGGGAGCAAGCCGGAUGCAGCCAUGCGGCGUGUAUGAAGAAGGCCUUAGGGUUGUAAAGUACUUGCAGCGGGGAGGCGUUACCCGCAGAAGAAGCACCGGCUAACUCCGUGCCAUCAGCCGCGGUGAUAC